CGGGUUGUAAAGUACUUUCAGUCAGUGAGGAAGGUGGGUAUUGUUAAUAGCAUAUUCAUUUGACGUUAGCUGCAGAAGAAGCACCGGCUUAACUCCGUGCCAGCAGCCGCGGUAAUACGGAGGGUGCGAGCGUUUAAUCGGAAUUACUGGGCGUAAAGCGCAUGCAGGUGGUUUGUUAAGUCAGAUGUGAAAGCCCGGGGCUCAACCUCGGAAUUGCAUUUGAAACUGGCAAACUAGAGUACUGUAGAGGGGGUAGAAUUUCAGGUGUAGCGGUGAAAUGCGUAGAGAUCUGAAGGAAUACCGGUGGCGAAGGCGGCCCCCUGGACAGAUACUGACACUCAGAUGCGAAAGCGUGGGGAGCAAACAGGAUUAGAUACCCUGGUAG
rnacentral:rRNA from 1 species